UUCCUAUUUUAUUUCCAAAUCCCCGCCGUCUCCAAAUUAAUGAAGUAGUUUCUGCUAAACCCUAGCCGGCGCACGAUGAAAUUUCCCCUUGAGAAACAUUCACUUAGCAAUCAAUCUGUGGUGUUGAACUUUUGUUGACGAAUGGGAGAAAAAUUCCGUUGAAAGAAAGAAGUGGAAGUAGCUAGAUCAUUGUUUACGAAUGAAAUUCACUUCUGGUGGCUGGAGAUGGAUGAGUAAAAAGUAGAUUGCAUCUUGAUUGAAUGGAGAGCCUCUGUACUGGUGACAAAAAGCCGGAGACUAGACAAGUUUAAAUCAAGAGGUUGCAUAAAUACAAGGUCAGAGAAAUUAUGUUCAUUUUUGUUUUGUUUCAAGUGCAAUCUUUUAUUGUUCCUAUAUCAUAAUCGGAACUAUUCCUCAAAGACUUUGCUCUCAUUGUCUAUUUCGUUGAUCGAUGUCAAUGGACCAAGAAAUCUGUCCUUUGCUGAAAGCUCAUAGGGUAAGAAGAAUUGAAAGGUAGGUUUUGUCAGUGAUUAAAUGGAAAGGUCAACACGAGCGAAAACCAAUCAAACUCAAAAAGAUAGGCAGAUCGAGCGCGCUGAGGGAAAUUCCAGAGAUCCGGAGACAUGUUAUCUAACAACUUUAACUUCACACAAAACUUUCUGUUUCUAAUUAGUAAUAAUACGUGUAACCGGGGUAAACAAACAUUGUACUUGGAGUGUCGGUAUGACGGUGGCAAUUUUACUCAAAAUUGCCAAAAGUCAAAACAUAAACAUGUACACACAGGGUCAAAAUUUUUAACAAAGAAAAUAGCUGUCGAGGAAUGAAAGAGGAGUUAACCAGUUUGUAAA